GACGAACGCUGGCGGCGUGCUUAACACAUGCAAGUCGAACGGAAAGGCCCCUUUUGGGGUACUCGAGUGGCGAACGGGUGUGUAACACGUGAGUAACCUGCCCUUGACUUCGGGUUACCUUCCUGAAACUGGGGCUAAUACCGGAUAGGAAUCCUUGCUUCAUGGUGGGGGUUGGAAAGCUUCGGGGGUUUUGGAUGGACUCGCGGCUUAUCAGCUUGUUGGUGGGGUAGUGGCUUACCAAGGCUUUGUCGGGUAGCCGGCCUGGGAGGGCGACCGGCCAAAGUGGGACUGAGAUACGGCCCAGACUCCGACGGGAGGGAGAAGGGGGGAAAAUUGAACAAAGGGCGGAAGCCUGAUGCAGAAACGCCGAGUGCGGGAUGACGGCCUUCGGGUUGUAAACCGCGUUCAGCAGGGGCGAAGCUUGGGGUGACGGUACCUGCAGAAGAAGCACCGGCUAACUACGUG
rnacentral:rRNA from 1 species